UAAGUACUCCCUUCGUUUCAAAAUUCUUGUCUUAGAUUUGUCUAAAUACAAAUGUAUCAAGUCAUAUUUUAGUAUUAGAUACAUACGUAUUUAGACAAAUUUAAAACAAGAAUUUUGGGACGAAGGGAGUAUAUU
rnacentral:pre_miRNA from 1 species